UCAUGGUGAAAAACUCAUUCUUU
rnacentral:miRNA from 1 species